AACGAACGCUGGCGGCGUGGAUAAGACAUGCAAGUCGAGCGAGAUUUUUUUCUGUAGCAAUACAGGGAAAAGUCUAGCGGCGAACGGGUGCGUAACACGUGGGCAACCUGCCAAGAAGUGGGGGAUAGCUCGCCGAAAGGCGAAUUAAUACCGCAUGUGUUUAGGGUGGACAUCCACUCAAAAUCAAAGUGGGGGCAACCUGACGCUUCUUGAGGGGUCCGCGGCCUAUCAGGUAGUUGGUGAGGUAACGGCCCACCAAGGCUUAGACGGGUAGCUGGUCUGAGAGGACGACCAGCCACACUGGGACUGAGACACGGCCCAGACACCUACGGGUGGCAGCAGUCGAGAAUUUUUCUCAAUGGGGGAAACCCUGAAGGAGCGACGCCGCGUGGAGGAUGAAGGUCUUCGGGUUGUAAACUCCUGUCAUUUGGGAACAAUGCGCAAAUAUUAACUGUAUUCGCGUUGAUAGUACCAGAAGAGGAAGGGACGGCUAACUCUGUGCCAGCAGCCGCGGUAACAC
rnacentral:rRNA from 1 species